CCUACGGGUGGCAGCAGUGAGGAAUAUUGGUCAAUGGACGAGAGUCUGAACCAGCCAAGUAGCGUGAAGGAUGACUGCCCUAUGGGUUGUAAACUUCUUUUAUAAAGGAAUAAAACGAGGCACGUGUGCCUUUUUGCAUGUACUUUAUGAAUAAGGAUCGGCUAACUCCGUGCCAGCAGCCGCGGUAAUACGGAGGAUCCGAGCGUUAUCCGGAUUUAUUGGGUUUAAAGGGAGCGUAGAUGGGUUGUUAAGUCAGUUGUGAAAGUUUGCGGCUCAACCGUAAAAUUGCAAUUGAUACUGGCAGUCGUGAGUACAGUUGAGGUAGGCGGAAUUCGUGGUGUAGCGGUGAAAUGCUUAGAUAUAACGAAGAACCCCGAUUGCGAAGGCAGCUUACUAAACUGUGACUGACAUUGAUGCUCGAAAGUGUGGGUAUCAAACAGGAUUAGAUACCCGAGUAGUC
rnacentral:rRNA from 1 species